GCGCGCGCCCUUAGCGUUGAGGGGGCGGGGCCGGCGGGCGCUGCAGCCCCGCCCCCCCCCCCCCCCCCCCCCCCCCCCCCCCCCCCCCCCCCCCCCCCCCCCCCCCCCCCCCCCCCCCCCCCCCCCCCCCCCCCCCCCCCCCCCCCCCCCCCCCCCCCCCCCCCCCCCCCCCCCCCCCCCCCCCCCCCCCCCCCCCCCCCCCCCCCCCCCCCCCCCCCCCCCCCCCCCCCCCCCCCCCCCCCCCCCCCCCCCCCCCGCCCCCCGCGGCCGUGAGGGCUCGGGCCCCCCGGGACGGGGACAGGGACAGCGGCACGGCUCGGGAGCGUCAGCCCCCCUGGCGACAAAGGUUUUGUUCAUUGAAGGAUAGCAAGUUUCGUGAGGUGCUGGGAUGGUGAAGGAAACUCUUAUUUUUUUUUGUAAACGAAAGUGAAUUGGGGAGGGGGAACAAACUGGGGGUAUCUGACUUCACUACCUGAAGAUAUAUUUGGAGAAUUAACCCCUGAUAUGCAAAUAGACCAAACAUAUCUGAAUGAAAAACUUGUGACCACCGUCCUAUCUUGGUUCAAAAUCUGGGAGGAUUUUGACUGCCCAAGGUGCAUCUAUUGAAGGCCUUUAUUAAAUACCCACUUUAUCCUCUUAACUCUGUCUAGCCUCUGUUUUAGGUAACUACUCCAAGGCUCAUUUGGGCUACCUAUAAACAGAGGCCAGACAAAGUUAAGAGAAUAAAAAGGAGUUGUAUUUAUUGAAGGGCCUUCAGGUACAUUUUGGGCAGACAAAGCCCCCUUAGAGGGGCUAUGGCCAAAAUGGACGAUGGAUCACGGGUUUUCACACUUUUGUAAGUUUGUGCCAUUUGCAUAUUGGGGGUUAAUCUUCCAAUUAAAGCUUCAGGUAAUGAAGUCAUUUACCCCAAGUUUGCUCCCCCCCAGCUCACUUUUGUUUCCAUCUCUCAGGGCCUGAGGCAGUGAGGUGUCCUUGAUUCCCAGCCUGGAGGGGAAUUGUUGUGUCUGCCCAAAAUGGGAGAGCAGCAGCUCACACUGGGUAUGGAGUUUAGAGUUAUACACUAAAGAAUUGCAGGAUUACAAAUAUAAAAGCUAAAAUCCUAAGGCAUCAGGGUGUCCAAACAUGAAGAUUCAAAGUUGAAAACAUCCUUCACUCUCUCUGACAAAAUGUACCAGAACAGAAAGAUUUAACUGACUUUCCCUUUCAUUUGCAAACUUGAAUUCACAGCAGAAUCAAGUGGCAGCUACAUUUCCUUGCAGCUUGUAAACUGUGCACAUAACCACGAUGGCAACGUCCUUUUGUUCUCCACUGUAUUAUGCAGUUUCAGUCUUGCAGAGUCUGAAAUGUUUAUUUCUUGCACAGAAAAAUGUGUCAGGAUAGAAGCAGUCUGGCAGGCUGCUUCUGUUGAAGCACAGUAGUGUCAUGCACUUUCUUUCUUAGCUAUUCAUAGCAUCACAUUUUGUCAUAGGGAGAGUUUCAGCACAGAUGCUGAAUUGUCUUAGUUUCUUCAUCUCUGGUUUCUGCAACACGUUCUUGUAGUCUGUAAAUUUUGCAUUCCUGGUGUCCUGUUCUGAUGUGCUCAGGCCAGCAGCAGGACUCAGCCAGAGCUGACUUACAAGAUGAACCCUGGGCAUUAUGUGACUAACACAAUCAGUAUUAUUUAGCUAAAAAUAGAUGCCUGAGAUGCUUAUUCCAGCUGUUUAACACCAAACCUGAUGCUUUAGAAACUACCAUAUACCCUUGUGUAGUUAUCUCCAAGAAAGGUAUCAUUUUAAGAAAUUUUCCCAACUGACAUGAAUAGAGGCUUGUUUGUAAGAUAUUUUAGGGGAAACCCUCCCAGCCAAGACCUGGCCUCUGGCCAAGCCCUGGCCCCUGCUGGUUGGGAAGUGUGCCAUCAGAUCCACAGGUGUUUCUUUGCCAAAAAUAUAAACAAGUCACUUUGACUUGUUGGUUUGGGCCUCUAAAAGCUGGACCCAGUUUGUGGUUGAAUUUGGAGACCUCACCUAUGGGUGGACACACUGUGUAGGGUUUUCCCAAUUGCUGGGAAGGGUUCUCCAGGUCCUCACUGUGAAAUGAGGCUCCUCAGUAAAGUAUUUAGAUAAUUGCGGAUGUAUCUUCCUCAAUCACUGUCUUGUCUCUCAUGUACUAAUGAUUAGGUACAUUACCUUGCUUGUUUUUGCUUGCUGCUAAAGCCAAGCAUGUAGUUUUAUUGAAUGUAUCAUUUUACUUUUGUGUUGCCCUAAUAGUCAUAGUAAAAUAAGACCAUUCUUUCUGUUGGUGUCUGUGUCCUUUAAAUUGCCCCUGGCACUUGGCAUGACAAGUUCUCAGCAUCACUUUUGCCCUAAUAGUCAUAGUAAAAUAAGACCAUUCUUUCUGUUGGUGUCUGUGUCCUUUAAAUUGCCCCUGGCACUUGGCAGGACAAGUUCUCAGCAUCACUUCUGUCCCUCAGGUUUUGUUCAUUGAAGGAUAUCAAGGUUGGCUUAGCAAAACUUAAAAUUUCAGUAACUAUCUUACAAUAGCAGUUUGUGAAAAAACUUUACUACAUGCUGGCUAAAGUGGAAAAUCACACUGCUUAUUAUUAAUUAAAAUAAUUAAUUGAAAGUUAACCCCAUUAAGUAGAAAAAUGAAUUAGGAAAGUUCCAUAAUUUCCAUCUCUUGGAGGAGUUUCGUGAGGUGCUGGGAUGGUAUUGGAGAUGCUAGGAGGAGCUUCAGUGCUGGUAAAGUGGAUUUAGGGGGAACAGGGAAGGAUUGAUUUGGUGGUAUCAAUUGACACAACUUUCAGUGGUGCUGGGUGAGGUUUGAGAGUGCUAAAGAGGAGCUGCAGCUGGCUAAGCUGGUUUUGGGUAAUGUUGGGAAAGUUUGAA
rnacentral:lncRNA from 1 species